GUAGUGCAAUAAGUAGCACAACAAAUCAGACAUCUGUAGAUGCGAGUUCGAGUCUCGCC
rnacentral:tRNA from 1 species